rnacentral:tRNA from 1 species
GGAGGAAUAGCGAAGUGGCCAAACGCAGCUGACUGUAAAUCAGUUCCCACAGGGUUCGGUGGUUCAAAUCCGCCUUCCUCCACCA